rnacentral:rRNA from 1 species
UGGGCAACCUGCCCCAGACACAGGGAUAACCCCGGGGAAACCGGGGCUAAUACCGGAUACUCCGGUCGAGCCGCAUGACUCGAUCGGGAAAGCUCCGACGGUCUGGGAUGGGCCCGCGGCCUAUCAGCUUGUUGGUGGGGUAACGGCCUACCAAGGCGACGACGGGUAGCUGGUCUGAGAGGGUGACCGGCCACACUGGGACUGAGACACGGCCCAGACUCCUACGGGAG